ACCAUAGAGAGAGAGAGAGAGAGAGAGAGAGAGAGAAAGUGUGUUCAAAGUGCUGAACAUAUAUAAAUUAAUAAAAUCAAAGUGUUGGGGCAGCACUUCUAAAUUCGAUCCAUCAAUCGUUUGUUUCGAUUAGGGCUUCCCAAACCCUACGGCAGACAGAAUUCAAUCGCAGAUUCAAAAUCAGUAAAAUCAAACCAAUCAAUCAGCAAAAUCGAAGGAACCGAUUCCUGACCGGAGCAUGGCGGAGCACCUGGCAUCGAUCUUCGGGACGGAGAAGGAUCGCGUCAACUGUCCGUUCUACUUCAAGAUCGGCGCGUGCCGGCACGGCGACCGGUGUUCGCGGCUGCACAACCGGCCAAGCAUCUCGCCAACGCUGCUGCUGUCCAACAUGUACCAGCGUCCCGACAUGAUCACGCCCGGGGUGGAUCCGCAGGGGCAGCCGCUGGACCCGCGCAAGAUCCAGCAGCACUUCGAGGACUUCUACGAGGACAUCUUCACGGAGCUCGCAAAGUUCGGCGAGAUCGAGAGCCUCAAUGUCUGCGACAAUCUCGCCGACCACAUGAUCGGCAAUGUCUACGUCCAGUUCCGCGAGGAGGACCAGGCCGCCAAGGCCCUCCAAGCGCUCCACGGACGGUUCUACAACGCCCGCCCCAUCAUCGCCGACUUCUCCCCUGUCACCGACUUCCGCGAGGCCACGUGUCGGCAGUUUGAGGAGAACAGCUGCAACCGCGGCGGAUAUUGCAACUUCAUGCACGUCAAGCUCAUCGGAAGGGACCUCCGCCGGAGGCUCUUCGGCCGCCAUCACCACCGCGGAGGUGGACGCUACCACCACACCAGCCGGAGCCGCAGUCGCAGCCGCAGCAGGAGUCCAAGGCACCGCCGGGAGGGACGGGAGAGGGACUCCCGCAGCGGUGGGAGGCGGGAGUAUAGAGAGAGAGACGGCGGUGGACGACGGAGACACGCCGAGAGUCCCGCCAGAGAAGGUAGCGAGGAACGCCGCGCGAGGAUCGAGCAGUGGAAUCGGGAGAGGGAGGAGAAGGAGUGACUUUAUCGAUGCUGGUUUCCGAGAAUGGAACAUCAAUUUCGUUCUCAGAGCUAGGUGCAAUAGGGGGAUUGGUUGUGCAGCGGAUGUUCUUGAGAUGUAGGAAUUGCAUUUCAAAGACUAACGAAGUUGGGGUUUGAAUUGCCUCUUCACUAUAGGUAUAUAAAAGCAUGUUUCGGAGAAAUAUUUUUGAUGAAUCCAAGUGCUAAAUACUGUACAAAAAUGAGACAACUAAGAUGGGCAACUUCUGCUUUGUUAUCCUGGGAUUUUUGCCACUUGGGCUAUGGUGGCAUUUGAGCUCUCCAAACCUAGGUUGACAUCAAGGCUUAGUGGAUGUUUUGGUUUAACUUAGGAGAAAUGACCGGUCAUUUCUUUUGGCUUCUUGAGAGAUUUUGCUAAAUAAGCUAAUAUUUCUCUAAAUUUAAGUUGAGCCAAGCCAUUACUUUGUGCUCACUCCAAUUACUUUAGGAUAUGUUUGAGAGUUUGGAUUUGGAAAGGAAGGGAGGGGAGGCAAAUUUUUUAAUUUAUAAUUUUAGAUUAGUAAGAAAUUAACCCAUAUAUCUCCAUAUAUCUCCGAUAUAAUUUUUAUAAACUUAUAUGUUUGCCCUCUUCACUGUUCUCCUUCAAAACCCAUGGGACAAUUUAGCCAUAGGCACCACUAGGCAUUGUGACUGAUGAGGUUUUCUAUGGGGGUUUUAAGCUUGUUCUUCACGCAUCAGUUAGGAAGGAACAGGAAUUAUCAUCUUCUGAUAUCAUAUAAAGUGCAAGCAGUUUAGGUUUCUGAAACCAGGAUGUGGCCGGACAGAUGUACAGAAAAGUAUGUUCCCAUUUUUGGUUAGACUACCUACCUUAACUCCUGUACCAGUUGAAUUUUGAUAUCAUCUUACCAUGCUUGAGUUGUUCAUUUUUUAAAGCGGGAGAGGUUUUGACUCUGGUAUGUUUGGUUGAGGUGAAAGAAAAUAAUGAUGGGGAUAUUUUUCUGUUUGAUUAGCAAAAAUGGAAGAAGAGUGAACUGGAUUUGUUAAAUUAAGUUUCAAUAAUUUCUUUCACUUUCCCUUUAAAUCAAUUUUCACACCAUUCUCUCGAUUCCUUUUUUACUGUACUAAAUAGAUCCUUGUGUGAUCUCUUUUAUACGAUAAACAAAAUUAAGGGAAAGUGAAACUUGUUUUCUUUUUUCUUCCUCAUUUUUGUUUUUUUAUUUAAUUUUCUUUCUAUUUUCGUCCGUCCUUCCAAACACACCCUCAGUAUCAAAUCUGAAUAAUAUGAUUAUAUUCCAUAAAAGUUAGCUUCAAUUGAUUGAGUAGUGCAAUUUGGAAACAUUCUGCGGUGGGCUUUUGAGAUCGUAAUGGGUAAACACUGAACUAUCAUGUUCCAAGAUGGUUUGAAUAAACAGCCAGCAUGACUGGUUUUCCCGGCUCCUUCGCUUCAGAUUUUCCCAAACGAUGGCACGGUGAAUUCAGAAAGAGAAUAACGGAUCUUGUUCACGUUUUAGCGUUUGAGGUAGACAUAUUUUUUUCAUUCUCGUUUGUAGUAUGAUGUCUCUGGUAUAAAAUCUUUUAACUAAGCAUUCAUUGAUGUGGAUGAAAUUUCACAUGCAUGUUUUUUGAAAGAUAUAUGACUUCAAACUAUUCUGGUGUUGAUGUUAGUGCACUGAAAACAAAACUGUUAAUCUGCUUUUCAGUGUGCUCUUAUUUUUAUAUACUUUGUCAAAUAUGGAACUUUGUUGGUUCUUU